GAUGAAGAACGUAGCGAAAUGCGAUAAGUAAUGUGAAUUGCAGAAUUCAGUGAAUCAUCGAAUCUUUGAACGCACCUUGCGCUCCUUGGUAUUCCAAAGAGCAUGCCUGUUUGAGUAUCAUUAAAUUAUCAACUGUACCAAUUUGGUUGCAGAUUGGAUGUGGGAGAUUUUGCAGGCUUUUGAUUUCUCUUUGAGAAAACGGUCAGCUCUCCUGAAAUAUAUUAGCAGUGCCUUUGUUGGUUCAUUAGGUGUGAUAAUUUAUCUACAUCUUCACAUGGUACCUUUAUUUGUGUAAAGGUCAUAUUGCUUCUAAUUGUCUUUGGACAUAAAAAAAAAAAAACAUAUAAUUGUAUGGAAAACUUGAUCUCAAAUCAGGCAGGACUACCCGCUGAACUUAAGCAUAUCAAUAAGCGGAGGA
rnacentral:misc_RNA from 1 species